AUGCUCACUUUGGCAGCACAUAUACUAAAAUUGGAACGAUACAGAGACUAGCAUGAUCCCUGUGCAAGUAUGACAUGCAAAUGCGUGAAGCAUUCCAUUAAAAAAUUUAU
ensembl:snRNA U6 U6 spliceosomal RNA